GUCCCCGUCCACCUGCAAGGCAAGCAGACAGGAAGGAGAAUCUCUGGACGCCAGGCAGAGGGCGCAAGGAAGCCUGCAGCAUGCAGACGGUGUCCCUGCUGUAGAGACAACCAGGUGCCAGUUGUAAAGCAAAAGCGCCAGCGCUCUCCUGCUUCUGCAGACCUUCCCCAGAAGAGGAAGCAGACCGCCGUGGCCCCCAGACCCACACUGCUGCACUGCACCUUGACAAACCUCUAAAGAUACAGAACCGCUUAGUCGAGGAGUACCAGCAGCUCUACCAUGAAGCUGUAAAUCAUAUGCUGAGGUUCAAGAGCAAUCUGCAAUCUGCAACCACCACCUCCACCUGCAGGUUCUGGCAGACAGCUGAGACAAAACCUCCACCUACAGCCUCUGUAAGCAACCUGCAGGCAGCGCCUCCACCUGGAGAUUCUGGCAGACAGCUGAGACAAAACCUCCACCUACAGCCGCUGUCAGCAAUCUGCAGGCAGCGCCUCCACCUGCAGAUUCUGGCAGACAGCUGAGACAAAACCUCCACCUACAGCCUCUGUAAGCAACCUGCAGGCAGCGCCUCCACCUGGAGAUUCUGGCAGACAGCUGAGACAAAACCUCCACCUACAGCCGCUGUCAGCAAUUUGCAGGCAGCGCCUCCACCUGCAGAUUCUGGCAGACAGCUGAGACAAAACCUCCACCUACAGCCGCUGUCAGCAAUCUGCAGGCAGCGCCUCCACCUGCAGAUUCUGGCAGACAGCUGAGACAAAACCUCCACCUACAGCCUCUGUAAGCAACCUGCAGGCAGCGCCUCCACCUGGAGAUUCUGGCAGACAGCUGAGACAAAACCUCCACCUACAGCCUCUGUAAGCAACCUGUAGGCAGCGCCUCCACCUGGAGAUUCUGGCAGACAGCUGAGACAAAACCUCCACCUACAGCCUCUGUAAGCAACCUGCAGGCAGCGCCUCCACCUGGAGAUUCUGGCAGACAGCUGAGACAAAACCUCCACCUACAGCCUCUGUAAGCAACCUGCAGGCAGCGCCUCCACCUGGAGAUUCUGGCAGACAGCUGAGACAAAACCUCCACCUACAGCCGCUGUCAGCAAUCUGCAGGCAGCGCCUCCACCUGCAGAUUCUGGCAGACAGCUGAGACAAAACCUCCACCUACAGCCUCUGUCAGCAACCUGCAACCACCACCUCCACCUGCAGAUUCUGGCAGACAGCUGAGACAAAACCUCCAGCUACAGCCUCUGUCAACAACCUGCAACCACCACCUCCACCUGCAGAUUCUGGCAGACAGCUGAGACAAAACCUCCACCUACAACCUCUUCCGGCAACCUGCACAGCCAGCUUCUGUCCUAUUGCCAUGUGGAAACCUUAGCGAGGACUGGAGAUACACACACACUAUGAUCUUUCAGUUAACAUGCAAACACAUUUAUACCUGCCUGGGCAGAUAGUUCUUCACAGACUUCAAGAUCUACCAGAAGAUGAUGGAGGGCCAUCAGGAUACCUUCCUUCUACACGAGUUGUGUACCAGAGAUGCUUCUUCCUCCUCCCCAUCCUGCACCUUCACCACCAACUCCUGCUCCUCUCCCAAACUGAGAGCGACCCUCCCUAUCUCAGUUCCACCAGCAGUUUCUCACCAAGCAGACUAAUGGAGGUGUGAAGAAUGCAGAGACGCUCCACCUGAGACUUUAGUGCCUCAUUUUUCCAGCCAUGCUCCCUAAAAAAGAUGACCAGUUUGCACUUUUACUGUUUACU